UGGGGAAUAUUGGACAAUGGGCGCAAGCCUGAUCCAGCCAUGCCGCGUGAGUGAUGAAGGCCCUAGGGUUGUAAAGCUCUUUCACCGGUGAAGAUAAUGACGGUAACCGGAGAAGAAGCCCCGGCUAACUUCGUGCCAGCAGCCGCGGUAAUACGAAGGGGGCUAGCGUUGUUCGGAUUUACUGGGCGUAAAGCGCACGUAGGCGGACUUUUAAGUCAGGGGUGAAAUCCCGGGGCUCAACCCCGGAACUGCCUUUGAUACUGGAAGUCUUGAUUAUGGUAGAGGUGAGUGGAAUUCCGAGUGUAGAGGUGAAAUUCGUAGAUAUUCGGAGGAACACCAGUGGCGAAGGCGGCUCACUGGACCAUUACUGACGCUGAGGUGCGAAAGCGUGGGGAGCAAACAGG
rnacentral:rRNA from 1 species